rnacentral:rRNA from 1 species
CCUACGGGAGGCAGCAGUGAGGAAUAUUGGACAAUGGGCGCAAGCCUGAUCCAGCCAUGCCGCGUGCAGGAAGACGGUCCUAUGGAUUGUAAACUGCUUUUAUACAGGAAGAAACACCUCUACGUGUAGAGACUUGACGGUACUGUAUGAAUAAGCAUCGGCUAACUCCGUGCCAGCAGCCGCGGUAAUACGGAGGAUGCAAGCGUUAUCCGGAAUCAUUGGGUUUAAAGGGUCCGUAGGCGGUUUAAUAAGUCAGUGGUGAAAGCCCAUCGCUCAACGAUGGAACGGCCAUUGAUACUGUUAAACUUGAAUUAUUAGGAAGUAACUAGAAUAUGUAGUGUAGCGGUGAAAUGCUUAGAGAUUACAUGGAAUACCAAUUGCGAAGGCAGGUUACUACUAAUAUAUUGACGCUGAUGGACGAAAGCGUGGGGAGCGAACAGGAUUAGAUACCCUGGUAGUCCACGCCGUAAACGAUGGAUACUAGCUGUUCGGAGCAAUCUGNGNGNGAGAGAAGAGAUAAGUAUCCACCNGGAGACGUCGNGAGAAGAGAAGACGAAGAAGUAGACGACGNGAGAGNGCGACGGACGACGACGAGGGAGGAGG